AUGCAUGCAUGCUGUAAUACAACUGACAACAAACUGACAUUUUGAGUGCACACACCCCUUUUGCUCAUUACACGCCCCUUUUUACUGGACAUGCGCGACCUCGUGGUUCUGUACACCUGCAACAAUGUUUUGGCUGUGUGGUUUUGGUAGCUAUAAAGUAAUAGUACUAUGUCUCCCCACGAAAUAAAGAGCUCUUUUGGAGCAGGAGAAGAACAGAUGGUGGUAUUGAAUACUUUUCUGUUGAUAAACGACGAAAUCACAGUGGCUGCAUAGAAAGAGUACUCUGCUAUGGUCCUAUACUAGCCAGUGCAGCUUGUAGGUCUUUCACUGGUAAAUAUAUAGCAAGUGCCUUAUCACUGAAGUUCCAGUUUAGCCUCCUGUGAAAGAUCAUCACCAUGACCACCAUACGCAUGCAGCAAAGCUUGGAUUGCAAGAUGACUGAAUAAUGGUUUGAUGCUGAGAAUCGUCACCUGGUAUCGACGGCUACUAUAAUGAGGUUUGAUUAGUUUAUAGGGGAGGAGGUUUCUCUGGCUAACAAGGUUUAAAAAUCAUAAAAGAUUAUAGUCAAAUACCAUAGAAACUAUAUUAUUAGCACAUACGCUCAUGGCGUGAAUAGUAGCACUUAUAUUCGAGAACCUGCGCCUCUGGUAAUAACGACUACACUUACCGGUGCUACGUUUGACUUCGUGCAUCAAGUACUUCACAAUUCUGUGAUGACCUGCUUAGCAUGCAAUUUGAAGUGGAUUCACUGGAUUAUAAAUGGUGUCCAACUACCAACUUUGAGUGCGUUGUACUAAUAAUAAUGGUGAUGUUGAUGAUGUCAUUAUUCCACAAACAAUUUUUGUUGUGGGGGGAAGGUUCACCCCUGCCCCCCCCCUGGAUUUUUUUAUCUGUUUUUGAAGCAAGAUGUCAUGGCAACCAAACCCUCUCCUCAGUUGAACACCUGUACGUAGUACAUCACAUACACUUGAUGACCUACAUAUAUGUACAGCGUGGCCAGAUAAUGGCAAAAAUGCGAUGUGAGCAGCACACGUGCACUCACAUCCUGCACAUAUCUGGCAAUUGAUAAGCAUGUGUGCUGCUGGCGUGCUGCAUGGAGUGCAUGCUUUUGUUAGAGCUGUGGCACGUGUGCCUCAUGUAU